rnacentral:misc_RNA from 1 species
CUCUAUUUGCCCAUAAAUUGGCGUCACACGCCACAUUCGAACGACGUUUGGCGUCGCACUGACGAUGUGCGUCUUGCGACCCGAUGUCCGUGAGGAAUGC